rnacentral:lncRNA from 1 species
UGAAAUCCUGUCACUGCGAGGCGGGCUGGGCCUGAAGACGUCAGGUGAAGUAAGACUCACGCUAGAAUCUGCAGAACUUGGUCUUGGCACUGGAGAGCAGGACAGUGGCGAGCAGAGGCUGAGAGGCGAGUCUUAGUAGCCCAGACGCCGCAGUGAAGGCCAUAGGAAAGUGUGGAUGGACACGCACUCCAUGGAAACCUGGCCUUGAAACGCACCGCGCUUCUCAGGCAGCGUCCACCUCACGCUGACUUCGCGCUUCACCUUGAGGCCUGCGUCUGUUUCUGUUGUAAGGAGGCAUUGCCAUGGAGCCACCGUCAGGGAACGCUGAGAAGAGCCGUUCAACCGAGUCACGACGUCAUUCCCGGAGCCCAGAGCCCGAGUGAGGGAAGCAUGUGGAGCCAGGUCGGGUGGACGGCAUUGGCCGCCAGCAGGAACCAAGCAGGAGAGCCCGGCAGCUGCGGAUCGGCAGUAGUGGGAGCCGUGUCCAUUGCUCUCCGACACGACACGGGCGGCAAGGAAGGAGGAGGAAGAGGGAACUCAGCGAGCGGUCUCGGGCCGGCCGAGGGCACCUGGAGCGUGGCAGGGGGAGCGGAGAGGGGCUGCGGGGCGCUCGCUCGUCUGCAGCUGGCUGGGGAAGACUGCUGAUCCCGGAAGCUUGGCCCGCACCCCACCCGAAGAAAGACUGCUAGGCCGGGAGGAAGGAGGACGAGGACGGUGAUGCUGCCCGGUCCUGCUCUCCCCGAGGUGGUUGGAAGGAGGGGUGAGGUAAGUGCCAGGCUCCGCCGCUCCAGUCAGGGACCUGAGACCGAGGUGUAAUCCCGAGCCAUGGCUGGCUUCGGAACACGGAGUGGGGACCGCAGAGCUGCUCCACAACGCCUCUGCAGCCGAGCCAGCUGUGUCCCAGAGACUCCAGCUCUGCCACGGUCCGCACGCACGCGCCUCCCCGCUCCACUGGCCAGGCAGGCAGUGCGAGUCUGCGCCUCCUCUCAGGGACGUCGCACGGCCUCUCGCCAGGGCCCAGCCCCUCCUCGGCCUUGUCGUGGACUCCCCUCCCCACCCAGGCAGCGUCCCCAUCCGUCCCCGGAGCGGGCCGAGCUUGGGCCUAGACCCAGGUGUCCCUGUGGUUUUGCCAGCGGAACUCCGCGCUCGGCCUGCCUCACAGGAGGGGCACCCAAGGGCAGCGCGUGCCUGGCUCGUCCUCCGUCCUCCGUGGCAGCGCUGCUACUCGGUGUGCUUGGGCUACCACGCUGGCGGGGUUUAGAAAGCCUCUGACUGCCCUCUCCAUGUUGUGCUCCCCGUGGCCCGAGCCCCGGCCACCCUCCCGACGGCCCCGCAUUUCUGUAGAGAACUAAGUGAUUUGAAUGCUUUGGGAUGGCUUCCAACAGGCCUGUUGCUUUGGUUGUGUUUUGGCCAAAGUGGACUGCUCUAAUUACCCACACCAUUUUGGCUGCAGCAGCUUCAAUUUUUCUGUCUCCUCCUUCCUUUAUUUUAAUGAAAUAA